GGGGGCCUUAGCGCGGUGGUCCCACCUGACCCCAUGCCGAACUCAGAAGUGAAACGCCGUAGCGCCGAUGGUAGUGUGGGGUCUCCCCAUGCGAGAGUAGGGAACUGCCAGGC
rnacentral:rRNA from 1 species